rnacentral:rRNA from 1 species
GGACCCGCACAAGUAGUGGAGCAUGUGGUUUAAUUCGAAGAUACGCGCAGAACCUUACCAACACUUGACAUGUUUGUCGCGACUCUAAGAGAUUAGAGUUUUCGGUUCGGCCGGACAAAACACAGGUGCUGCAUGGCUGUCGUCAGCUCGUGUCGUGAGAUGUUGGGUUAAGUCCCGCAACGAGCGCAACCCUCACUUUUAGUUGCCAUCAUUUAGUUGGGCACUCUGAAAGAACUGCCAGUGAUAAGCUGGAGGAAGGUGGGGAUGACGUCAAGUCCUCAUGGCCCUUACGUGUUGGGCUACACACGUGCUACAAUGGUAUCUACAACAGGAAGCAAAACUGCGAAGUUAAGCAAAUCCUUAAAAGAUACCUCAGUUCGGAUUGCACUCUGCAACUCGAGUGCAUGAAGCUGGAAUUACUAGUAAUCG